GAUGAACGCUGGCGGCGUGCUUAACACAUGCAAGUCGAACGGUGAAGCAGGAGCUUGCUCCUGUGGAUCAGUGGCGAACGGGUGAGUAACACGUGAGCAAUCUGCCCUGGACUCUGGGAUAAGCGUUGGAAACGACGUCUAAUACCGGAUACGAGGCGUGGGGGCAUCCCCAACGCCUGGAAAGAACUUCGGUCCAGGAUGAGCUCGCGGCCUAUCAGGUAGUUGGUGAGGUAACGGCUCACCAAGCCUACGACGGGUAGCCGGCCUGAGAGGGUGACCGGCCACACUGGGACUGAGACACGGCCCAGACUCCUACGGGAGGCAGCAGUGGGGAAUAUUGCACAAUGGGCGCAAGCCUGAUGCAGCAACGCCGCGUGAGGGAUGACGGCCUUCGGGUUGUAAACCUCUUUUAGUAGGGAAGAAGCGCAAGUGACGGUACCUGCAGAAAAAGCACCGGCAAACUACGUGCCAGCCGCCGCCGUAAAAC
rnacentral:rRNA from 1 species